rnacentral:rRNA from 1 species
AAUGCCGGAUGCUCCGACAUGACGCAUGUCGUGUCGGGAAAGAUUCAUCGGUAUGGGAUGGGGUCGCGUCCUAUCAGCUUGAUGGCGGGGUAACGGCCCACCAUGGCUUCGACGGGUAGCCGGCCUGAGAGGGCGACCGGCCACAUUGGGACUGAGAUACGGCCCAGACUCCUACGGGAGGCAGCAGUGGGGAAUAUUGCACAAUGGGCGCAAGCCUGAUGCAGCGACGCCGCGUGCGGGAUGACGGCCUUCGGGUUGUAAACCGCUUUUGACUGGGAGCAAGCCCUUCGGGGUGAGUGUACCUUUCGAAUAAGCACCGGCUAACUACGUGCCAGCAGCCGCGGUAAUACGUAGGGUGCAAGCGUUAUCCGGAAUUAUUGGGCGUAAAGGGCUCGUAGGCGGUUCGUCGCGUCCGGUGUGAAAGUCCAUCGCUUAACGGUGGAUCCGCGCCGGGUACGGGCGGGCUUGAGUGCGGUAGGGGAGACUGGAAUUCCCGGUGUAACGGUGGAAUGUGUAGAUAUCG